CCUCGGGUUGCUCCAGUGAGGAAUAUUGCACAAUGAGGGGAACUCUGAUGCAGCAACGCCGCGUGGAGGAUGACACUUUUCGGAGCGUAAACUCCUUUUAUAUAGGAAGAAGAUGACGGUACUAUAUGAAUAAGCGCCGGCUAACUCCGUGCCAGCAGCCGCGGUAAUACGGAGGGCGCAAGCGUUACUCGGAAUCACUGGGCGUAAAGAGCGUGUAGGCGGAUUAAAAAGUCAGAAGUGAAAUCCUAUAGCUUAACUAUAGAACUGCUUCUGAAACUCUUAAUCUAGAAUAUGGGAGAGGUAGAUGGAAUUUCUGGUGUAGGGGUAAAAUCCGUAGAGAUCAGAAGGAAUACCGAUUGCGAAGGCGAUCUACUAGAACAUUAUUGACGCUGAGACGCGAAAGCGUGGGGAGCAAACAGGAUUAGAUACCCUCGUAGUC
rnacentral:rRNA from 1 species